rnacentral:rRNA from 1 species
CCUACGGGCGGCAGCAGUGAGGAAUAUUGGUCAAUGGACGAGAGUCUGAACCAGCCAAGUAGCGUGAAGGAUGACUGCCCUAUGGGUUGUAAACUUCUUUUAUAAAGGAAUAAAACGAGGCACGUGUGCCUUUUUGCAUGUACUUUAUGAAUAAGGAUCGGCUAACUCCGUGCCAGCAGCCGCGGUAAUACGGAGGAUCCGAUCGUUAUCCGGAUUUAUUGGGUUUAAAGGGAGAGUAGAUGGGUUGUUAAGUCAGUUGUUAAAGUUUGCGGCUCAACCGUAAAAUUGCAAUUGAUACUGGCAGUCUUGAGUACAGUUGAGGUAGGCGGAAUUCGUGGUGUAGCGGUGAAAUGCUUAGAUAUCACGAAGAACCCCGAUUGCGAAGGCAGCUUACUAAACUGUGACUGACAUUGAUGCUCGAAAGUGUGGGUAUCAAACAGGAUUAGAUACCCGUGUAGUC